GAGGGAAGGCACUCAGUGUCAGCGGGGAGGGAGGAGAUGGCGGAGCCUGGCGCGGGCCGGACCGGCGGCGGGGCGGCAGCGAUGGCGGGGGACGACAGCGAGAGGAACGGCGACAGCGUCGCUGGAGGGGAGUCCGCCGCCGCCUCGUCACUGCCGUGCUCCCCUCCGGCGGGCGGCGGGGACGAGGGCGGCGGGGCGAAGCCGCUGAGCGCGGCGGAGUACGCGCGGCGUGUGCACCAGUGGCUCUGGGACUCGUACUGCGGGUACCUGGGCGGGCAGGCAUCCCUGCCCGCCCUCCUCGCUGCCUCUGCCGCCGCCUCCGCUGCCGCCGCCGCCUCCGCUGCCGCCGCCGCCGCCGCCGCCGCCGCCGGAGCCCCUCGCCUCGCCGCGCCGCCGGACCUUCCGUCCCCGCCGCCGGCCGCCGCCGCCUACUGCAGCCCCUUCUACCUCUUCCCUCCGGCGCCGGCCCACACGGCCACCACCGGGCCGGGGCCCCGCGCCGCCGCCGCCCCAGCAGCGGCCUCCGCCGCCUCAGCCCCCGCUUGGCCCGGAGCGGCGGGCAGGUUGGGCCCCCUGCCCAGGGCGGCCUCCGGCAGCGCCGCCGGCACCAGCGGCACCCCCAGGGAGACGGGCCGGCCGGCGGGUCGGGAGUUCAUUAUCCCUUCGCUGGCACACAGGUUCAUAGCAGAGAUGGUGGAUUUUUUUAUUCUGUUCUUUAUAAAGGCAACCAUUGUUUUAAGUAUUAUGCACCUCAGUGGAAUAAAGGACAUCUCUAAAUUUGCCAUGCAUUACAUAAUAGAAGAAAUAGAUGAAGAUACGUCCAUGGAAGACUUGCAGAAAAUGAUGGUAGUAGCUCUCAUCUACAGGUUAUUAGUCUGCUUCUAUGAGAUAAUCUGUAUUUGGGGAGCAGGUGGAGCAACCCCAGGGAAAUUCUUGCUUGGACUGCGAGUUGUGACAUGCGAUACAUCUGUACUUAUUGCGCCCAGCCGUGUGUUAGUCAUUCCAUCUUCUAAUGUCAGUAUGACAACGUCCACAAUACGAGCUUUGAUCAAGAAUUUUUCUAUUGCUUCAUUUUUUCCUGCAUUCAUUACACUGCUGUUUUUCCAGCAUAACAGAACAGCCUAUGAUAUUGUAGCGGGGACUAUUGUGGUAAGAAGAAAUGGAGUCAGAUGAUACCAAAAGAUGAGAUUUCCAGACUGGUUCUGACCAUCCCCUCCCACCCCCAGUGAGCAAAGACCUACCCCAGAACUGAAAUUGAGGUGUCUAGCAGAAUCUUUUGCCCAUAUGAAAUGGGAAUCGAUUCAGAAGCUAAAGAAAAUGUUUUACUCCGGUAUGAUGCCAGCAGCUACCUUCAAAGUAUUGGAGUUUUAAUAAAUGCCAAAGAAGUUUGGGGGAAACAACACAUAUUAAAUCCAGAAGUAUUAACCUCUGAUUGAUGAGAAAGUGGCUGAAUUAACUGCAGAAAGGAGCAGCUCUGUUUGUCAGUCUGUGGAAAGCAGAUACCUAGAAAUACUCCACCUUAAAAGAAAUGUCGCUUCUACAGUUUUGGAAGUUGGCAGGUAACUAGAAAAUCAUGUUGUUUUCCAAGCAGUUGCCCAGGUCAUGUGAAUAAACUCUUAGGGAACUGCAGACAGUAAGGCAAACCACAUUGAUUAAACUGCUGUGUGCAUAGAAAGAGAUGAGUAGUGUUGAUCAUAUCCCUUAUUAUUGCUUCACAGUUCGUAUUCCCUCACCUUUUAAGUAUUUUAUCACAACAUUGAUGUGAAAAGUUUUUUUGCAUGACUGUCUUCAGAAUUGUCACUUAUUCCACAUCAAAGCUAAUGAAGAGGUGGAAUAACAGCCGCUUUUUCUCUGGGAAGGGUAUGUUACACUGCAGUGUUAGUGAAUUGGCGUCUGUAAAUCAUUUUGGAGCUGUGAACAGUACAGAUCAUGCUGAUGGAAGGUAACUUUUUUGCUUCUGUUUGGAUUGAAAGCACUUGUCUACUUCUUGCAUAUAAUACCAAGCAAAACAACUGAAUGUGUUUCAGGAGCAUGCGGAAACCAUUAACUGAAGUGUGUUGUGGGUGUAAAUCUACAGAAGGUGUAACUAUGCCACUCUGUGGCUGAAGGUCUUGCCCUGCCUUCAGGUUUGGAGGUUGGCAGUAGAAAUGUUUGAGCUUGGUUCUCUCUCUUGUCUUCAGGUGAAAUAACAUCAUCAGUACUGUGUAAAUAUGCUGCAAUAUUUUAGUUUGGCAGGUGCUGUUCUUUUUAUUAGCAUAAUGUUUUGUGUAUGUGUUCUGAUCUUCAUUUACAGUGAUGUUUUGGGAGGUCUGAAUAAAGCACCCUUCUGAGGUUGUUCAACCACCUGCAGAUGUUUAGCUGAAAAGGAACUUCAGAGAUAUCACUUAACUGUUCUUUCAAAGAAUGACACUAUUGACUUAAGCAUUGAAGUUAAAAGUUCAGGCAUGGCAGUCAGCCUGGCAGAAGUGAAAGCUGUCAGAGCUAACUGAAGUCCCUUCUAGGGUGGGUGUUGCCUAUUUACAAGUUCAGUAUAAAUACAGGAAGAACUUUUGUUCUCUUUACUGUAGCAGUGAUCUAGAAAUCAGGAUUCAAGAUGGGGGGGGGAGACAGUAACAUUUUAGCCAGCAGCAUUGCUUUUUCUGCUACCCACUCUGGUAUAUGGGAAAGCAUCUCUUACUCUCUAGAAAAAUACCACCCCUUCCACAGCAGGUAAAGAAAAAAAAUUACAAUUCAAGAAGACACAGCCUGUCCCUGGAAGUGUGUACACAUUAUGCUGUUGUACGCAUGAGCUUUUAGUUUGCUUCUUAUGCAAGCUGUGUUGAAGACUUGGCUUUUUCCUGUUGGUAGGAUGAGUACCUGGCAGCUGACAGAGCUAAGGAAAAGUGAAAUUUGGGGCAUUUUUCAGAUUUAGACAUCUGGAAACAUGUAGUUGCAUAUAAUCUUUCCACAGUGACUGUGGCAGGAUGUGACUGAAGAGCAGCUUACAUGUGAGGUUUUAAAGUCUAGUUGCUGAAUAUUUUCUAGUUCUAGGGAUUGGAGCUCUUACAUGGGUAAGGCUCCCAGGAAAAAAAAAAAGGUUAGGCCCUGUUUUCCUGUCAAGUCUAGUUUGUGGUUAGAAAAGUAUCUCAUUUCAUAAUACUGGUGCCUGCAGUUGUACAAGUACUGAGCAGCAUUAGGGUGAAUGGCAGCAGUGCUAGCAAAAAACCCAGCACUGCAGCUCAAGACACUUAAAAUUUAUGAAACUUAGGCAGGUUGUUUCAGUUCUAGCUGUAAAGUGAAUGCUGUGGGCUUAGUAAAAAUUCAGCUGUGAUCCCUAAACAAAUGAGAGCGUUUCCUCUUCCUUUACUAGAACAAUGUCUGUUCUCUAAGAAGCUCCUAACCGCUACAGAAGUGGAAACCCCCCACAUUACUCAUUUACAGUCUGGUGUACUUUUUCCUCUUCAGUUAGAAGGGGGGUGUGUGUGUGAGAAUGGUUGAAAUGUUUUUGGUUGUGUUUUUUUUUUUUUUUUUAACAGCUCUAUAAAGGUUAACUGCAGCCAGCUAUGGCUCCAAGCUUAAGUCUAUAAUAAAACUCUCCUUCUUAACAGGGAACCUCUAACUAACUUAAGAUCCUCUAAGACCAGCAUGGGUGUCACUGACAAAAAGCAGAGGUUGGAGAAAGCACGUGCCAUCGCUCGGGCCGAGCACAUCAUCUUGUAUCCCUGCAGCUGCCUUCACAGAGAGUUAAAACUGCCAGAUGAUAUUUCAUAGUUUUUAUUGAUGGCAUUUAUCCCAUGGUUUAACAUGUUAAUUAUACUGUAAUAAACAUGGCUUUAAUAUUAAACUUUUCCUUAUUAUCCAAAGUCACCACAGUCCAUUUCAGUAAAUAUAAAAAUAUAUACUUAAUACUUUGUACAAUACUGGUUUUUGGUCCAAACAAAAAUGGAUCAGAAAAGCCAAUAAACUUACUUUAAGAAUUCCCAAUUUUAAAGAUUUUCUAAAUGGAUUUAGGCAACUUUGAAUAAUGGGAUUUACAUAAAAUCUGAGACAAUACUAAACAAAAAUGGCCGUAACACACAAAAUUAAAAUUUCAAUUUCACAGAUUUGUUAUGCCAAAAAAGUACAGAGAAACAAAAUUGUAUUUACACAUGUUUCAUAAUAAAAUAACAAAGGCGAGACACGUGAUAAAGGGCUGUAAGAAUGAAAAUAUAGAAAUAGCAUAUAAUUAUUAAAUGAAGAACUACAGAUCUAACAAGUCCUUAGCAUGGAUCGUCCUUUAAUCAGUCUUCCUCUAUCAGAAAAUUUUAGUGCACAAUACACCCAAACUCACUCACUUCACACAUACACCAGCACAAACUCAGCAUAGAAAUCAUUCAUUAUCAACAUUCUCUACUCUAUACAGCAUCCCUCGCUGAUAUAAUUACAAUUUCGAGGCGUCAGUAAACGCAGAUGAGCGCACAUAGUGGUGCAGAUGAGGAGGUAUUGUACAAGCCAUUCACUGUGCAGGCUCUACUCACGGCUACAGCCAGACCAUGCCGAGUCAGUGAAAGAAGUAACUUGCUGGAGUCUAAAAUAGUUUUGCUUGAGAACGGCCCCGUCGCCAACUCUAUUCGUUACCCCAAAAAUAUCUAACCAGGGAGAGGGAGGGGAAGGGAAGGGCAGCAGAGUUUUCUAUUCCUUUAGGCAGAUCUGACUUCAGCUAACCCAGCACGAGGUACGAUCCCAACAACUGAACAACGCAGGGUAGCAGCUGCUUCGAAAGUUCCUUUACCAGUCGGGUGUUUAUUUUCUACGUCUAACUGCAGUCUUUAUCUUCCGACCAGAAACUGAAGAUCCAGAGGCAGAGAAAACAUUUUUCCCAUUAGUCCUAUCAAAAGAAAUCAGUAGUGCAGAGUUUAGGACAGUGUAGCUGAAAAUUCAGUAGCAGCACUGAGUAGAUAAUUCCAGAACAACUGUUUCAUAGUUUCAUCUCGCUAGUUGCCAGCUGGCAACAAAUGGCAUAUGAUGAACGGGAGGAAGAGAGUUCCAGAAACCAAAAGCAAUUAGUUCUCUCUUAUUCAGAAGGCAAGUAGCAGCACAAUGGCUAGAUACAGGCUUUACCUUUAAAGAACAAGACAACUGCACCUACGUUGAUAUUUCUGACAACUAGGCUCUGUUAAAGGUACCACUGCUCAGUUAGCCAGUCAGGCUAAUACAAGGAAGGCCGCCCACUUUAGUUUCAGACUCCAAGGUUCAUCUGAACAUCUCGUGAUUUAACAGCGGCAGAGGCUGAACACGGUCCACCAACACUACCUGAAGCUCAAGUGAAAUUCUGAUAUGGUCUCUUACCCCACUGUAAAUGCUGGAGACUGGCUGAAUGAAAAUCCUGAAGAGCCAGAAGGUUGUGCCGGUGCUGCUGGUGCAGGAGGAUUCGCACCAAAAGUAAAUACUCUGGGGUUAUUUGCAAAGUUGAAACUAGACGUAUUACUUCCAAAUUGGAAUAGAGAACCUGGGAAGAUGGGGUGGAAGCAGAAGGGAGUAAGAAAGUUGAAAUUUUAGUUCAUCCUUUCCAGCAAAAUCCUCAUGUUCUUCCCGCUGCCUUUAAUGAUUUUUUUUACAGGUUGAUCAAGAUGCCAGAGUCGGGGGAGGGGGGCGCACCAGAAGUGCCAGGCUACUACGGGAACAGUACGCAGAAGGAUUCAGUCACUUUAAUAGAGAAUCAUGGAGGGAUUGUUACAGUAACGCUGCUGGCACACUGGUAGCAAAGUGUUUGCUAACUUCUGUACCGCCGUUAAGUUUAUGUCUGUGCAUACUGAAGUUUAUGAAUAAAGUCUUAAAUUAUA